GGUUAAGUGAAUAAGGGCGCACGGUGGAUGCCUUGGCACUAGGAGCCGAUGAAGGACGGGACUAACACCGAUAUGCUUUGGGGAGCUGUAAGUAAGCUAUGAUCCAGAGAUUUCCGAAUGGGGGAACCCAAUAUCUUUUAUAGGAUAUUACUUUUCAGUGAAUACAUAGCUGAUUAGAGGUAGACGCAGAGAACUGAAACAUCUUAGUACCUGCAGGAAGAGAAAGAAAAUUCGAUUCCCUGAGUAGCGGCGAGCGAAACGGGAAGAGCCCAAACCAACAAGCUUGCUUGUUGGGGUUGUAGGACUCCAAUAUGGUAGUCUGUUAGUAUAGUUGAAGGAUUUGGAAAAUUCCGCUAAAGAGGGUGAAAGCCCCGUAGACGAAAUGCUGACAACACCUAGGAGGAUCCUGAGUACGGCGGAACACGAGAAAUUCCGUCGGAAUCCGCGGGGACCAUCCCGCAAGGCUAAAUACUCCCUAGUGACCGAUAGUGAACCAGUACCGUGAGGGAAAGGUGAAAAGCACCCCGGAAGGGGAGUGAAAUAGAUCCUGAAACCGUGUGCCUACAACAAGUCAAAGCUCGUUAAUGAGUGAUGGCGUGCCUUUUGUAGAAUGAACCGGCGAGUUACGAUUGCAUGCGAGGUUAAGUCGAAGAGACGGAGCCGCAGCGAAAGCGAGUCUGAAUAGGGCGAAUGAGUAUGUAGUCGUAGACCCGAAACCAUGUGAUCUACCCAUGUCCAGGUUGAAGGUGCGGUAAAACGCACUGGAGGACCGAACCCACGUACGUUGAAAAGUGCGGGGAUGAGGUGUGGGUAGCGGAGAAAUUCCA
rnacentral:rRNA from 1 species